rnacentral:misc_RNA from 1 species
AAUUAGGAUGGAUUGCAGGGCCAAUCACCAUGCUUUGUUUUGCAGUUGUUACAUACAUAUCUGCAUCUCUCAUAUGUGAUUGUUACAGGUCACCUGAUCCCAUAACAGGAACGCGAAAUCCCUCUUACAUUGAUGCCGUUAGAGUUAAUCUUGGGAAGAAAUGGACGUGGUUGUGUGGUUUGCUUCAGUAUGUGAGCUUCUAUGGGACUGGUAUUGCUUAUGUAAUUACAAGUGCAACAAGUAUGAGAGAAAUUCAGAGAUCAAAUUGUUACCAUAAAGGAGGAGAAAAAGCUGUU